rfam:Vigna radiata var. radiata cultivar VC1973A chromosome 8, whole genome shotgun sequence
UAUGCCUAUGAUGGUGUUAAAUAUACUCCGAGCUCCACUUCUAUUAUAUAAACUUUUCGAUCUGAGGCACU